rnacentral:lncRNA from 1 species
GUAAAUUUGAAGUGCAUUUUCAGGAAAAUUGUCAAGAUUCCCAGGUGACUCCUUUUCAUUCCUUGCAGCCGUUCUGGUAUGUGAUCCUUCUUGAGUUUGUCAGUUGGGAGGAGACACCCUUUGCCUUCUGUUCUGACUCGGUAGCUGCCUCUGGCUUGCACUACUCAAAAUCUCAUUUGUUAGAGGUCCAUUUGGACAGCUCUUGUGGUUUCACAUCCACAAGAAAAGAGGGUCCUGCAUGCCUCAAGUACAUGGCUUCCUGUGGACCAUAAACACAUCAAGUACAAGGGGUUCCAGGACCUGCUGGACUUCUGCUACACUGCCGUGCUCAUCCUUCCUGGGUUGCGUUCUGCUGAUAACAGGAGCUUCGUGUCGCCUUGAUGAGGGACUCAUGCCUGAUGUAUUUCCAUCCUCCUUCCUGAAGAGAAGCAGCGCUUUAGACAUAGGGGCCUUGGCUGUCUGAGGAUUGUCUCUAGAAAGUUCACAGCACUGUGUUCUAAAUGUGGCCUCUCAGUGUGCUGGUCACUGCCAUUGUGGUUGCCAAGGAAAUCUUUCUCAACUGCCAUGCACUGAGCCUCAGAAGCCCAGUGUGCCUCAGGCAUGGGAAGAUCCAGAGUUGACUUAUGAGUAUGGAAGCUUGCUAGGACCUGAAGAGAGCCAGAGACACUCCUGUAGAGAAAGUGUCUGUGUCAGCAAGAUUUGUCCAGAACCGUUGACCAACUUUUUAAACCCACAUGAGCCCGCAUUGAACCUAUGCAGACUAUCCAGUGCAUGUGUAUAAGUCAUCAUUUAAUCUUUUGAAAAGUGGGUUACACUAACCUAAGUUUUUUACAUAUAAAUUUCAGAAGCAAUACAGAUGUGUUUUGUGGAAAG